rnacentral:lncRNA from 1 species
AUUAAUAUAGACAAUGCAAAGCCAAAGUGGGCUAAAGGCCCAAAAAUAAAAUAAAAAGGAAUAACAAGAAAAACAACAAUGCAAAAACCUAGAGAGGGGUGCCAAUAGUGACGCCCCAAAGCGCUGACCUAAUGCAAGAAGAUUGAGGGAGUCAAACUUUCUAACUCGAUCUCACACGUGGGAUUAGAUGCUAAGUGGAUCUAAAGGCAAAUAAAAAUGGUGUAGGGUAGUGUUGGUGGGACUCUCCACAUGGGACCCCUGGUCAAUGAAGUAAGUAUGCAGAUCACAUGGUUUAUCUUAUGCCACGUGUCUAGCAAGGGAAGGAAAGGUAAAAGAUUAAAAGUCUGAAGGGACUCAUGUGUGUCCCAUUUCAUUUUUUCUUCUCUCUCACUUCAAUCCAUCCUCUCUCCUAUCUCCACCAUGCUAACACAUCUAAACUCUUUUUCCUUCUUUCUCACGUAUCAAACGCAGUGGUUAUGAUGAACACAACAUGAACAUGUUUAAGAACAUGUUCAUCCCAACCUAAAACCUAACAAAAACUCAACAAAUCCAUACGCCCACAAGGUAAACCCCCUAUUCCUUUACUCUGAUAACAAAUCCAAACAUGAGUUCGUCAGAAAAAACACCAUAAGGUCGGAUCGAGCCUUCCCAACAUAAACCCUAACCCCUAAGAUUUCCACUAUUUAGUCUGAUUACGACAUGGAUACACCAAUUGAAGAUAAAAUGACAUAAAAUAUGUAAAUCAACGCGUAAACUAAGCAUGAAAAAUGGAGAAAAACAUCUCGCAGAAAAUUGGAGUUUUAAGCGAGAACUCCGACGGUCUCCUAACCUUCAGGUAAAUAACUCUGAACUUUUUCCUCUUAUUUAUAUGCUUUUGGUUUGCUUCCUCUUACGUUUUCUGAAUCUACGCUCCCUCUUUUAUUCUGAUGGUAGGGCGGUGGUAGGCAGAGCUUAAGAUUGUGCAGGUUUUGCUAAGGGUUGAUGAAGUAUUUCUACAGGGGUUUGAGAGGAUUUAUUAGUGUCUUAAGAGUGAUUUGAGAUGUUGUUUUUAUAGGAGGAUUUGGGGUGAUAUGGCGAUCCGCGUGAAGGAUGUUUUAGGGGGAAAGUUUGAGCAUGUGGGAGGUUUUUAGAGGGAGAUGCAAGUGUGUGAAGGAAAGUGUGGAAGGUGUGAUUCUCUCAUGUAUGAUGGAAAUGGUAUGAUGAUGAUGGAUUAAGGCUGCAACAUGGCUCAUACAUUGCAAAAUGCAUGAAUUACUUAUGGGGAUGGAUGUUGGCGUAUGCUAGAGGAUGGCAAGCAAACCGUGCUUCAAAUUUCCAAUUAUUCUUUAUUUUUUCCAUUUUGACGCAUGCUUUUGGUGCAUCGCACGCUCGAAAUACAAUAGAUUCGUCAUUAAAUUUUAUUUAUUCUAAGAGAAUGGGAAAAUAUCAAUAAAACCCAAAGGGAAGAGAAAAGGGUAAGGAAGUCAAUUAUGCAAAGGGAAGGUAUUAACAUACCUCACAUCUGAUGUACUAAACAGAAACCAUUUUUAAUUUUCUUUGCAUAUAUGGGUGUUAUUAUCUAAAGGUUACUCGCAAUUGGUUUUAAUUAAGGGAAAAAAAUAAGUUUUUAAUUAAUGUGCUCGCCAAGAUUUC